rnacentral:rRNA from 1 species
UACGUAGGGGGCAAGCGUUGUCCGGAUUUAUUGGGCGUAAAGAGCGUGUAGGCGGCCGUACAGGUCAGCUGUGAAAACUCGAGGCUCAACCUCGAGACGUCGGUUGAAACCGUACGGCUAGAGUCCGGAAGAGGAGAGUGGAAUUCCCGGUGUAGCGGUGAAAUGCGCAGAUAUCGGGAAGAACACCCGUGGCGAAGGCGGCUCUCUGGGACGGUACUGACGCUGAGACGGCGAAAAGCGUUGGGGAGCAAACAGGGAUUAGAAAACCC